rnacentral:rRNA from 1 species
GGGAACGUGCCCUUUGCUACGGAAUAGCCCCGGGAAACUGGGAGUAAUACCGUAUGUGCCCCUUGGCCUUGACGGUCAUGGGGGAAAGAUUUAUCGGCAAAGGAUCGGCCCGCGUUGGAUUAGGUAGUUGGUGGGGUAAUGGCCCACCAAGCCGACGAUCCAUAGCUGGUUUGAGAGGAUGAUCAGCCACACUGGGACUGAGACACGGCCCAGACUCCUACGGGAGGCAGCAGUGGGGAAUCUUAGACAAUGGGGGCAACCCUGAUCUAGCCAUGCCGCGUGAGUGAUGAAGGCCUUAGGGUUGUAAAGCUCUUUCAGCUGGGAAGAUAAUGACGGUACCAGCAGAAGAAGCCCCGGCUAACUCCGUGCCAGCAGCCGCGGUAAUACGGAGGGGGCUAGCGUUGUUCGGAAUUACUGGGCGUAAAGCGCACGUAGGCGGACCGGACAGUCAGAGGUGAAAUCCCAGGGCUCAACCUUGGAACUGCCUUUGAAACUAUCGGUCUGGAGUUCGAGAGAGGUGAGUGGAAUUCCGAGU